rnacentral:rRNA from 1 species
UACGGGGGGAGGCAAGCGUUGUUCGGAUUUACUGGGCGUAAAGGGCGCGUAGGCGGCCACCGCAAGUCGACUGUGAAAUCUCCGGGCUUAACUCGGAAAGGUCAGCCGAUACUGCGGGGCUAGAGUGCAGAAGGGGCAACUGGAAUUCUCGGUGUAGCGGUGAAAUGCGUAGAUAUCGAGAGGAACACCUGCGGCGAAGGCGGGUUGCUGGGCUGACACUGACGCUGAGGCGCGAAAGCUAGGGGAGCGAACGGG